CUUCUUGGUUCUGCUUUUGUAGAGAGAUGAAGAAAGUACUCUUGGUGAGGCUCCAAAUAGAACUGACAAAGGAAUUGAGAUGGAGCAAGAUUUUGCUGCUGAUACCUAUAGUGUAAGUGAGGAUACCUAUAGUGUAAGUGAGGAUUCUGCGGAUGAUGAAGAAGGCAAUGAAGAAAAUGAAGAACUGGAAUCUGCUAUGGGGGAGACUGGUGAUCGGGGUGAAGUAGCUGAUGAGAAACUAUGGGACAAGGGUGAUGAUAAUCCCAGUACCAUGG
rnacentral:lncRNA from 1 species